rnacentral:rRNA from 1 species
UUGACCUCAAAUCAGGUAGGACUACCCGCUGAACUUAAGCAUAUCAAUAAGCGGAGGAAAAGAAACUAACAAGGAUUCCCUUAGUAACUGCGAGUGAAGAGGGAAAAGCUCAAAUUUAGAAUCUGGCAGUGUUUCAUUGUCCGAGUUGUAACCUAGAGAAGUGUAACCUGCACUGGACCGUGUACAAGUCUCCUGGAAUGGAGCAUCAUAGAGGGUGAUAAUCCCGUCUUUGACAUGGACUKCCAGUGCAUUGUGG